ACAGAGGGGUUUUUAAUACUGUUUUUCACUUCUGCCUGACUAAAUGAUUCUCAAGUGGCAUUCACCACUGUUUUAAUUAAACGUGUCUCAUGAUUUAGAAAUUAUAAGCUUCUACUUUGAGGAAAUGCCAUGGUAAACUUUUAUUUUGGCAGGGGGAAGCAAAACUGAUUAGUAGAAGGAUAGUGUCUGUUAACAGACAGAGAAGUGGGAAGAGUUCAGAAAGUGCAGCUGGGGGGACUAACCCCAGCAGUAGCGCCUGCACACUAAUCCCUCACAACCCUUUGCCACAGAGGUUGGCUCUGCAGCUACUGCCUGAACUAGAUGAUAAGAUGUGCACUGCAGCUGAAUUACUUGGUUAUUGUCAUCUCCUCAGUGCUUCCCAGAACUCCGAUGGAGAGCAGGAAACCAGCUAUCAUUGAACAUCCCUUGAAGUGCCUCCUUAGGCCACCCCACAUGCUUCAGGUGGCCCAGAAGGGUCCAUUCUGGCACCACCAGCACAGGAGACCGCAGUCAGAGCCAGGAACCACCAGCUCCUCAUCAGUCCCACACAGCAACAGACCAUGACAAAGAUUAUAUAAAAGCUUUACGUGUACAAGCUAAGGAUUGGAAUUUUUUCAGCUGUUUCACUUGGGCUCCUGCUUGGCACUCCUUCUUAGUGACCAGCUGUGGCUUCUCCAUAUUCACAAGAAGAAACCUGCAUUUGUGGCUCUUUAAGAAGGUAUGACCCUGACUCUCCAAGGACUGGGACAUACAGCUGACAUGAGACCACACCGACCWAAAAUCAGGUCUCAGAUUUCAUCAGCGGCAGACUGGUAUUACCCUAAAGUGCUGGAGGAUUGUUUGAUCACUGUGAGGAGCUCCUCCUACGCCUGCAAGUAUCAGGGAGAAGGCUGUGACACCGACUUUGGAAAGGUGUACUCAUCCUACAUCUCAGAAAAUCUGCUUGCCUGCUUCUAAAAUGAGCUAAAACAUAAGAUGACUUCUCAAACACAGGUGGUUGUAAAAGACUUUGAAAAGUGGUUUUGAAUAGUACUGGAGGUAAUCCAAAGCCAAAUUUAAUAGGAAUUUUCUGUCUUAGCUGCUACAAAUUCAUCAAGAGCGCGUAUGUGUUCUGAAGGUCUUCUUAGGCACCUUACAAUAUAGAAGAAACUUUCAGUGCAUAAUUUGAAACUUCAGCGCAUCCUUAAUGAGGAUGCAACUGAAAUAAAAUUACUUCCAAGGUCAGUAUUAAUCUAGUAUUUUUGGACCCAGACUGCAAGGCCUGUGCUUGAGCAGAAAAAAGAUAGUUGAUGCUCUCUGUUGAGGAACCAGGGCARGGGGGUGUAAAUGGUCAAACAGAAACAUGAUGCCUUCUCCAGUGUCCUGUCAUUGGUGGCUCUGGAAGAGAGAGGGGCUGGCUGGCAGGAACACCCUGUCCAUUGGGCCGUACUGCCUCCCAGUGGGCAUCAGCUACUUCUCUUUCGGGAUAAAACGCAGAGGGAUUUAAAAUGCCUGGCACAGAAGCCACUGUCCUCGAACAGCUAAUGGGGGAGUUCACAGACAGCGGGAUUUUGGGUAUCUAAAACCAAAAUGACAAAACUCUUGAUCAUCUACCAUGUGUGUAGCACUCUGUGAAAUCACAGGUGUGAGCCUUUGCCUAUGGCUUUGUGCAGAACAUUACACCUUCAUGAAAAAAAUAAAAAACAAAACAAAACCAAAACCRAUUUUGGCAGGCAACCUUCCAAAUGUGGGUUCUCAUCAUACCAACUUGCACGCAGAGCUCUGUCCCCACCACUCUCACCUCUGAGAAGCAGCAGCAGAGCAGUAUCACGUCCUGUGGCUCUGGAAAAUUUAAUUGUGCCCUCCAUGCAGUGCUAGGAGUAACUUACUUUUUCUUCUUACUUUWCUUGUGUGUGCUGAGAGCAACAGGACAUUAAAAAGGAAUGACAAAAAUGAAGAAUGAAACAACAUGAAGAAAGAGCACUGUUUGCUGCAGCAAGGUCUCCACAAAGGAGUGAAGAAAGAGUUGGGAAAAUGCUUCUAUACUUCUUUGACUGUGAAAUUUUACUUUGACUGUUCUUCUGAAGCCUACACACACAUUCCAUUUGUCUAUGUCUCAUACUUUCAUUGUACAGAAUGGGAGAGAAAAAAAAAAUCACGCAGUGCUAUAGCACAAAUUAUAUGAAUAAACAAAGAGUUUUGUGUCUAGGUGUGUCCAGCUACAAAGGUCACUUAGGUGUGGGGUGUUUUUCUCCAAAGUUA